UGUGAUUGGGAAGGAAACUCUCAGAUUUCAAGUGUGUGCAGGUGGCUUAUUGAGUUCAAAAAGUGAUUUUUAAAUUCAAGUUAUAUGUAAUAUAUUAAAUCAAGUAAAAAAUUCCUAUAAUGAAUGGUUGAUAAUGGUCGAUGUGUACAUAGUUGAAUUUUUACAUUAUGUGCAAGUGAUAAAUAAAUUUAUGGAAAUGUUAGAG
rnacentral:lncRNA from 1 species